GCGAAUCCGUUGGGGUGUUCCGUGAGGGACUGAGAGGCGCGAGCCAACCCAUCGAACCUGAUCCGGACAAUACCGGCGGAGGGAACGGAGCACGAGCAGGC
rnacentral:ncRNA from 2 species